UACAGAGGGUGCGAGCGUUGUCCGGAAUCACUGGGCGUAAAGGGCGCGUAGGUGGCGCUCCAAGUCUGUGGUGAAAGCUCGACGCUCAACGUCGAGUCGGCCAUAGAGACUGGAGGGCUCGAGCACUGUAGGGGCAGAUGGAAUUCCGGGUGUAGCGGUGGAAUGCGUAGAGAUCCGGAAGAACACCGGUGGCGAAGGCGGUCUGCUGGGCAGUUGCUGACACUGAGGCGCGACAGCGUGGGGAGCAAACAGG
rnacentral:rRNA from 1 species